rnacentral:rRNA from 1 species
UACGUAGGGUGCGAGCGUUGUCCGGAAUUAUUGGGCGUAAAGGGCUCGUAGGCGGUCUGUCACGUCGGGAGUGAAAACUCGGGGCUUAACCCCGAGCCUGCUUCCGAUACGGGCAGACUAGAGGUAUGCAGGGGAGAAGGGAAUUCCUGGUGUAGCGGUGAAAUGCGCAGAUAUUAGGAAGAACACCGGUGGCGAAGGCGGCUCUCUGGAACGGUACUGACGCUGAGACGCGAAAGCGUGGGGAGCGAACAGG